AGUGAAAUGCGAACAGGAAGUGGGAAGGAGCAGCCUUUGUCUCUCCUGCCAGUGUGCUUCAGACAUUUGUGAAGAAGCAGACCUGCAUCAUAAAACCAACCGAAAGCCACGGAGUUACCUCUCUAAAAAAUGUAAUGGACUGUACUGAAAGCCUAACUUUGACUGAUGUGAGGUUUGGGACUUCAUCCAGGAGAUGCUGGCAUGUCAUAGUCCCUCUGACGAGCAGAGUGUAAUAAGCAACAGACACUGGGAAAAUACUUCCUAUCUGUUAGAAAAAGGUCCUUUUCAAGGCUCACAUGUUCAGAGGCCCUGACAUCAAUAAGAGCUGCCACAGAUCCUUUACAACAGACUAAUCAAAAUGAAAAAACCCAAACCUGUAGUAUGUGAGAAUCAGAUCUUUCUAUGGAAAAAGAGGCCUCUAACAUUGACUCCUCCACUCCAUUGGCCACAAAGCCUAUUCUGGAUAGGGAAAUGGAGAUGUUGCUGAGUUCUUUUAAUAGAAGUGGGAGCAU